rnacentral:rRNA from 1 species
GAUGAACGCUGGCGGCGUGCCUAAUACAUGCAAGUCGAGCGGACGGACGCGACUCUUGCGUCGCUGAUGUUAGCGGCGCACGGGUGUGUAACGCGUGUAUAACCUCCCUGUAAUACGGGGAUCACUUCGGGAAACCGGCUCUAACACCGGAUGAUAUUCUGCACCGCAUGGGGCGAAAGUGAGUGACGGUCGUUGGGGCACUUAUAGAGGGAUCCGCGCUGCAUUGGAUAGUUGUUAAGGUAACGGCCUACCAAGGCAACGAUGCAUAGGCGACCUGGUAGAGUGGUCGGCGACACUGGAACGGGGACAGGGACAAGAGGACUACGGGAGGCAGCAGUAGGGAAUCGUCGGCAGUGGGCGGGAGCAUGACGGAGCAACGCCGCGUGAGUGAUGGCGGUGUUCGGAUCGUAAAAAUCGGUUAUUAGGGAAGAACAUAUGUGUAAGUAACUGUGCACAUCUUGACGGUACCUAGUAAGAAAGCCACGGCUAACUACGUG